rnacentral:tRNA from 1 species
UCCCUGGUAGUCAAGUGGUUAAGAUUCUGCACUUCAAAUGCAGGCGGCCCAGGUGUGAUUCCUGGUCAAGGAA